UACCGGCGGCUCGAGUGGUGACCAUUUUUAUUGGGCUUAAAGCGUUCGUAGCUGGAUUGUUAAGUCUCUUGGGAAAUCUAACGGCUCAACCGUUAGGCGUCUAAGGGAUACUGGCAAUCUAGGGACCGGAAGAGGUGAGAGGUACUCCUGGGGUAGGAGUGAAAUCCUGUAAUCCUAGGGGGACCACCUGUGGCGAAGGCGUCUCACCAGGACGGCUCCGACAGUGAGGGACGAAAGCUGGGGGAGCAAACCGGAUUAGAUACCCGGGUAGUCCCAGCCGUAAACGAUGCGCGUUAGGUGUAUCAGCGACCACGAGUCGCUGAGGUGCCGAAGGGAAACCGUGAAACGUGCCGCCUGGGAAGUACGGUCGCAAGGCUGAAACUUAAAGGAAUUGGCGGGGAGCACCACAACGGGUGGAGCCUGCGGUUU
rnacentral:rRNA from 1 species